rnacentral:rRNA from 1 species
CAGCAGCCGCGGUAAUACGGAAGGUCCAGGCGUUAUCCGGAUUUAUUGGGUUUAAAGGGAGCGUAGGCUGGAGAUUAAGUGUGUUGUGAGAUGUAGACGCUCAACGUCUGACUUGCAGCGCAUACUGGUUUCCUUGAGUACGCACAACGUUGGCGGAAUUCGUUGUGUAGCGGUGAAAUGCUUAGAUAUGACGAAGAACUCCGAUUGCGAAGGCAGCUGACGGGAGCGCAACUGACGCUUAAGCUCGAAGGUGCGGGUAUCAAACAGGAUUAGAUACCCGAGUAGUCCCUGUCUCUUAUAC